UACGUAGGGUGCAAGCGUUAAUCGGAAUUACUGGGCGUAAAGCGUGCGCAGGCGGUGAUGUAAGACAGGUGUGAAAUCCCCGGGCUUAACCUGGGAACUGCAUUUGUAACUGCAUCGCUGGAGUGCGGCAGAGGGGGAUGGAAUUCCGCGUGUAGCAGUGAAAUGCGUAGAUAUGCGGAGGAACACCGAUGGCGAAGGCAAUCCCCUGGGCCUGCACUGACGCUCAUGCACGAAAGCGUGGGGAGCAAACAGG
rnacentral:rRNA from 1 species